CAGGCCUAACACAUGCAAGUCGAACGCUGGAGACCGACUUCGGUUGGUCGAAGGAGUGGCGAACGGGUGAGUAAUACAUAAGCGACCUGCCCACGAAGACCGGGAUAAUCCCUGGAAACGGGGACUAAUACCGGAUAGGCAUUUGAGAGGCAUCUCUAAAAUGUUAAAGAUUAAAAGCACUGGUGGAUGGGCUUAUGGCGCAUUAGCUGGUUGGUGAGGUAACGGCCCACCAAGGCGAUGAUGCGUAGCCGGCCUGAGAGGGUGAACGGCCACAUUGGGACUGAGACACGGCCCAGACUCCUACGGGAGGCAGCAGUAGGGAAUUUUCGGCAAUGGGGGAAACCCUGACCGAGCAACGCCGCGUGAGUGAAGACGGCCUUCGGGUUGUAAAGCUCUGUUGUAAGGGAAGAACGGUACGGAGAGAAUCUGUAAGUGACGGUACCUUACCAGAAAGCCACGGCUAACUACGUGCCAGCAGCCGCGGUAAUACGUAGGUGGCGAGCGUUAUCCGGAAUUAUUGGGCGUAAAGGGUGCGCAGGCGGCCUGUUAAGBUUAAGGUGAAAGCGUGGGGCUUAACCCCAUACAGCHUUAGAUACUGGCAGGCUAGAGUACUGGAGAGGAAAGUGGAAUUCCAUGUGUAGCGGUAAAAUGCGUAGAUAUAUGGAGGAACACCAGUGACGAAGGCGGCUUUCUAGCCAGUAACUGACGCUGAGGCACGAAAGCGUGGGGAGCAAAUAGGAUUAGAUACCCUAGUAGUCCACGCUGUAAACGAUGAAUACUAAGUGUUGGGGAAACUCAGUGCUGCAGCUAACGCAAUAAGUAUUCCGCCUGUGGAGUAUGCACGCAAGUGUGAAACAUAAAGGAAUUGACGGGGGCCCGCACAAGCGGUGGAGUAUGUGGUUUAAUUCGACGCAACGCGAAGAACCUUACCAGGCCUUGACAUCCCUUGCGAAGUGCUGGAGACAGUACGGAGGUUAUCAAGGUGACAGGUGGUGCAUGGUUGUCGUCAGCUCGUGUCGUGAGAUGUUGGGUUAAGUCCCGCAACGAGCGCAACCCUUGUCUUCAGUUACCAAUAUUAAGUUAGGGACUCUGAAGAGACUGCCGGUGAUAAACCGGAGGAAGGUGGGGAUGACGUCAAAUCAUCAUGCCCCUUAUGGCCUGGGCUACACACGUACUACAAUGGCUGUUACAGCGAGACGCAACACGGCGACGUGGAGCAAAUCUCUUAAAGGCAGUCUCAGUUCGGAUUGAAGUCUGCAACUCGACUUCAUGAAGUUGGAAUCGCUAGUAAUCGCGGAUCAGCAUGCCGCGGUGAAUUCGUUCCCGG
rnacentral:rRNA from 1 species